GUGGGGAAUCUUGGACAAUGGGCGCAAGCCUGAUCCAGCCAUGCCGCGUGAGUGAAGAAGGCCUUAGGGUUGUAAAGCUCUUUCGCCCGCGAAGAUAAUGACGGUAGCGGGAGAAGAAGCCCCGGCUAACUCCGUGCCAGCAGCCGCGGUAAUACGGAGGGGGCUAGCGUUGUCCGGAGUCACUGGGCGUAAAGCGCGCGUAGGCGGCCUGUUAAGUUGGAUGUGAAAGCCCGGGGCUCAACCCCGGAUGCGCAUCCGAGACUGGCAGGCUGGAGUCCGGGAGAGGGCGGCGGAAUUCCCAGUGUAGAGGUGAAAUUCGUAGAUAUUGGGAAGAACACCGGUGGCGAAGGCGGCCGCCUGGCCCGGAACUGACGCUGAGGCGCGAAAGCGUGGGGAGCAAACAGG
rnacentral:rRNA from 1 species